rnacentral:rRNA from 1 species
CCUACGGGGGGCAGCAGUGGGGAAUAUUGCACAAUGGGGGAAACCCUGAUCCAGCGACGCCGCGUGAGUGAAGAAGUAUUUCGUUAUGUAAAGCUCUAUCAGCAGGGAAGAAAGAAAUGACGGUACCUGAGUAAGAAGCCCCGGCUAACUACGUGCCAGCAGCCGCGGUAAUACGUAGGGGGCAACCGUUAUCCGGAAUUACUGGGUGUAAAGGGUGCGUAGACGGUAUUGCAAGUCUGGUGU